GCAUAUCAAUAAGCGGAGGAAAAGAAACCAACAGGGAUUGCCUCAGUAACGGCGAGUGAAGCGGCAACAGCUCAAAUUUGAAAUCUGGCCCCCCUCUGGGGGGUCCGAGUUGUAAUUUGCAGAGGGCGCUUUGGCAUCGGCGGCGGUCUAAGUUCCUUGGAACAGGACAUCGCAGAGGGUGAGAAUCCCGUACGUGGGCGCCUGCCUUUGCCGUGUAAAGCCCCUUCGACGAGUCGAGUUGUUUGGGAAUGCAGCUCUAAAUGGGAGGUAAAUUUCUUCUAAAGCUAAAUACCGGCCAGAGACCGAUAGCGCACAAGUAGAGUGAUCGAAAGAUGAAAAGUACUUUGGAAAGAGAGUCAAAUAGCACGUGAAAUUGUUGAAAGGGAAGCGCUUGCAGCCAGACGUGCGCGCGGUUGCUCACCCCGGCUCUCGCCUGGGGCACUCUUCCGCGCGCAGGCCAGCAUCAGUUCGGGCGGUCGGAUAAAGGCCUCUGUCAAGUACCUUCCCCCGGGAAGGCCUUAUAGGGGAGGCGCAAUGCGACCAGCCCGGACUGAGGUCCGCGCAUCUGCUAGGAUGCUGGCGUAAUGGCUGUAAGCGGCCCGUCUUGAAACACGGACCAAGGAGUCUAACAUCUAUGCGAGUGUUUGGGUGUCAAGCCCGGGCGCGCAAUGAAAGUGAACGGAGGUGGGAUCCCCUUCCGGGGUGCACCAUCGACCGAUCCUGAUGUCUUCGGAUGGAUUUGAGUAAGAGCAUAGCUGUUGGGACCCGAAAGAUGGUGAACUAUGCUUGAAUAGGGUGAAGCCAGAGGAAACUCUGGUGGAGGCUCGCAGCGGUUCUGACGUGCAAAUCGAUCGUCAAAUUUGGGCAUAGGGGCGAAAGACUAAUCGAACCAUCUAGUAGCUGGUUCCUGCCGAU
rnacentral:rRNA from 2 species